rnacentral:rRNA from 1 species
GAUGAACGCUGGCGGCGUGCCUAACACAUGCAAGUCGAACGGACUUAAGAUGAAACCUAGUGAUUUUUAAGUUAGUGGCGGACGGGUGAGUAACGCGUGGGCAACCUGCCUCAUACAGGGGGAUAACACUUAGAAAUAGGUGCUAAUACCGCAUAAGCGCACAGCUUCGCAUGAAGCAGUGUGAAAAACUCCGGUGGUAUGAGAUGGACCCGCGUCUGAUUAGCUAGUUGGUGGGGUAACGGCCUACCAAGGCUUCGAUCAGUAGCCGGCCUGAGAGGGUGAACGGCCACAUUGGGACUGAGACACGGCCCAAACUCCUACGGGAGCAGCAGUGGGGAAUAUUGCACAAUGGGGGAAACCCUGAUGCAGCAACGCCGCGUGAGUGAAGAAGUAUUUCGGUAUGUAAAGCUCUAUCAGCAGGGAAGAACUAAGACGGUACCUGACUAAGAAGCACCGGCUAAAAUACGUG